CUCCCAGUAAGGGAAAAACCAAGCUAAUCUCAUUUCAAAGCAAGGCCAAAAGAAGACAGUCCCUAAGAACCCCAACACUCUAUGUGACUAGAUUUCCCCGACGUGCAGUCUGGGGCUGU